rnacentral:rRNA from 1 species
AUUGAACGCUGGCGGCAGGCCUAACACAUGCAAGUCGAGCGAGCGGCGGACGGGUGAGUAAUAUCUGGGAAACUGCCUGCUGGAGGGAGAUCACUAGUGGAAACGGUAGCUUAUACCUCAUACCAUCAGAUGUGCCCAGAUGGGAUUAGCGAGUAGGUGGGGUAACGGCUCACCUAGGCGACGAUGCCUAACUGGUCUGAGAGGAUGACCAGUCACACUGGAACGGAGACACGUUCCAGACUCGUACGGGAGGCAGAAGUGGGGAAUAUUGCACAAUGGGCGCAAGCCUGAUUCAGCCAUGCCGCGUGUGUGAAGAGGGCCGUCGGGUUGUAAAGUACUUUCAGCGUGGAGGCGUUACCCGCAGAAGAAGCACCGGCUAACUCCGUGCCAGCAGCCGCGGUAAUAC